rnacentral:rRNA from 1 species
CCUACGGGGAGCAGCAGUGGGGAAUAUUGGACAAUGGGCGAAAGCCUGAUCCAGCCAUGCCGCGUGUGUGAAGAAGGCCUUCGGGUUGUAAAGCACUUUCAGUGGGGAAGAAAGCCUUGGGGCUAAUACCCUCGAGGAAGGACAUCACCCACAGAAGAAGCACCGGCUAACUCCGUGCCAGCAGCCGCGGUAAUACGGAGGGUGCGAGCGUUAAUCGGAAUUACUGGGUGUAAAGCGCGCGUAGGCGGUCUGAUAAGCCGGUUGUGAAAGCCCCGGGCUCAACCUGGGAACGGCAUCCGGAACUGUCAGGCUAGAGUGCAGGAGAGGAAGGUAGAAUUCCCGGUGUAGCGGUGAAAUGCGUAGAGAUCGGGAGGAAUACCAGUGGCGAAGGCGGCCUUCUGGACUGACACUGACGCUGAGGUGCGAAAGCGUGGGUAGCAAACAGGAUUAGAUACCCCGGUAGUC